CCUCCGGAACCUGUUGAGGACAAAUGUAAUGGACAUGCGCAUCGAUGGCGCCGGCAGUGACGAUUAGUUUUUCUCCAGCAAGAGCUUCGGUUGAGGAGCCGAUAAUCAAAUGUGGAUGUACGCCUUCCAUGAUAUCCGGGUUACCCGCUUUUCCUAUACCCACUAUUCUUCCCUGCCUGACUCCAAUAUCUGCCUGCGUAUAUGCACAUAAGUAUCUUGGAGUCAAGGUAUUGUUGGCAGUGAAACCUUGUAGAUUCCACUCCAAUCAACGAUCAGCACGUUGGUGAUUACAAGGUCGAGAGCAUUCAAGUGUGACCGGUUUGUUGCUUGGCCCAUACCCUCGCGAAUG
rnacentral:sRNA from 1 species